GACGAACGCUGGCGGCGUGCUUAACACAUGCAAGUCGAACGGUGACCCUCGGAGCUUGCUUCGGGGUGAACAGUGGCGAACGGGUGAGUAACACGUGAGUAACCUGCCCCUGACUCUGGAAUAAGCGCUGGAAACGGCGUCUAAUACCGGAUACGACACGCCUCCGCAUGGGGAGCGUGUGGAAAGUUUUUCGGUCUGGGAUGGACUCGCGGCCUAUCAGCUUGUUGGUGAGGUAAUGGCUCACCAAGGCGAUGACGGGUAGCCGGCCUGAGAGGGCGACCGGCCACACUGGGACUGGGACACGGCCCAGACUCCUACGGGAGGCAGCAGUGGGGAAUAUUGCACAAUGGGCGAAAGCCUGAUGCAGCGACGCCGCGUGAGGGAUGACGGCCUUCGGGUUGUAAACCUCUUUCAGCAGGGAAGAAGCGAAAGUGACGGUACCUGCAGAAGAAGCACCGGCUAACUACGUGCCAGCCGCCGCCGUAAAAC
rnacentral:rRNA from 1 species